rnacentral:rRNA from 1 species
AUUGAACGCUGGCGGCAUGCUUUACACAUGCAAGUCGAACGGUAACAGGCCGCAAGGUGCUGACGAGUGGCGAACGGGUGAGUAAUGCAUCGGAACGUGCCCAGUCGUGGGGGAUAACGCAGCGAAAGCUGUGCUAAUACCGCAUACGAUCUGUGGAUGAAAGCGGGGGACCGUAAGGCCUCGCGCGAUUGGAGCGGCCGAUGUCAGAUUAGGUAGUUGGUGGGGUAAAGGCUCACCAAGCCGACGAUCUGUAGCUGGUCUGAGAGGACGACCAGCCACACUGGGACUGAGACACGGCCCAGACUCCUACGGGAGGCAGCAGUGGGGAAUUUUGGACAAUGGGCGCAAGCCUGAUCCAGCAAUGCCGCGUGCAGGAAGAAGGCCUUCGGGUUGUAAACUGCUUUUGUCAGGGAAGAAAUCUUCUGGGUUAAUACCUCGGGAGGAUGACGGUACCUGAAGAAUAAGCACCGGCUAACUACGUGCCAGCCGCCGCUGUAAUAC